rnacentral:rRNA from 1 species
GACGAACGCUGGCGGCGUGCUUAACACAUGCAAGUCGAACGGAAAGGCCUCUUUCGGGGGGUACUCGAGUGGCGAACGGGUGAGUAACACGUGAGUAACCUGCCCUUGACUUUGGGAUAACUUCAGGAAACUGGGGCUAAUACCGGAUAGGAGCUCCUGCUGCCUGGUGGGGGUUGGAAAGUUUCGGCGGUUGGGGAUGGACUCGCGGCUUAUCAGCUUGUUGGUGGGGUAGUGGCUUACCAAGGCUUUGACGGGUAGCCGGCCUGAGAGGGUGACCGGCCACAUUGGGACUGAGAUACGGCCCAGACUCCUACGGGUGGCAGCAGUGGGGAAUAUUGCACAAGGGGUGGAAGCCUGAUGCAGCAACGCCGUGUGCUGGAUGACGGCCUUCGGGUUGUAAACCGCUUUCGCUCAUGACGAAGCUUUGUGUGACGGUAGUGAGUAAAGAAGCACCGGCUAACUACGUG